rnacentral:misc_RNA from 1 species
AACGCACCUUGCGCUCCUUGGUAUUCCGAGGAGCAUGCCUGUUUGAGUGUCAUGAAAUUCUCAACCUAUCUAGUUUUCUAACUGGUUAGGCUUGGAUCAUGGAAGCUGCUGGCUCAAUUCGAAUCAGCUCUUCUUAAAUGUAUUAGCAAAGACUUUUGCUGACCAUCAUUGGUAUGAUAAUUAUCUAUAUCAUUGGUAACCAGUUCCCUUUCAUAGGGAGGUCUUGCUUCUAAUAGUCGUUUCGACAACUUGACACCUUUGACCUCAAAUCAGGUAGGACUACCCGCUGAACUUAA